GCUUACGGCCACACCGCCUGGUUCACGCCCGAUCUCGUUUGAUCUCGGAAGCUAAGAUAGGUUGGGCCUGGUUAGUACUUGGAUGGGAGACCGCCUGGGAAUACCAGGUGCGUGCUUU
rnacentral:rRNA from 1 species